UACAGAGGGUGCGAGCGUUGUUCGGAAUUAUUGGGCGUAAAGCGCUUGUAGGCGGCACGUCAAGUCGCGUGUGAAAUCCCCAGGCUUAACCUGGGAAGUGCGCGCGAAACUGACGAGCUUGAGUGCCGGAGAGGGUCGCGGAAUUCCCGGUGUAGAGGUGAAAUUCGUAGAUAUCGGGAGGAACACCAGUGGCGAAGGCGGCGACCUGGACGGACACUGACGCUGAGACGGCGAAAAGCGUGGGGAGCAAACAGG
rnacentral:rRNA from 1 species